rnacentral:rRNA from 1 species
UACAGAGGGUGCAAGCGUUGUUCGGAAUCAUUGGGCGUAAAGGGCGUGUAGGCGGUUUGUUAAGUCAUGUGUGAAAUCCCUCGGCUCAACCGGGGAACGACGCAUGAAACUGGCAAGCUAGAGUACCAAAGAGGGGGGUGGAAUUCCCGGUGUAGCGGUGAAAUGCGUAGAGAUCGGGAGGAACAUCAGUGGCGAAGGCGGCCAUCUGGGACAACACUGACGCUGAAGCACGAAAGCGUGGGGAGCAAACAGG